rnacentral:piRNA from 1 species
CAGUUACUCAGUCUCACGCAGCAAG